UACGGAGGGUGCAAGCGUUAAUCGGAAUUACUGGGCGUAAAGCGCGCGUAGGCGGCGAAUCAAGCCGGUUGUGAAAGCCCCGGGCUCAACCUGGGAAUGGCAUCCGGAACUGGUUGGCUAGAGUGCAGGAGAGGAAGGUGGAAUUCCCGGUGUAGCGGUGAAAUGCGUAGAGAUCGGGAGGAAUACCAGUGGCGAAGGCGGCCUUCUGGCCUGACACUGACGCUGAGGUGCGAAAGCGUGGGUAGCAAACAGG
rnacentral:misc_RNA from 1 species